rnacentral:rRNA from 1 species
CAAAGGCUUGGUCCUGACUUUACUAUCAACUUUAGCCAAACUUACACAUGCAAGUAUCCGCACCCCUGUGAGAAUGCCCUACAGUCCCCCGCCCGGGAACAAGGAGCUGGUAUCAGGCACAUCCUAUUAAGCCCAUGACACCUUGCUUAGCCACACCCUCAAGGGAACUCAGCAGUGAUAAACAUUAAGCCAUAAGUGAAAACUUGACUUAGUUAAAGCUAAGAGGGCCGGUAAAACUCGUGCCAGCCACCGCGGUUAUACGAGAGGCCCAAGUUGAUAGACACCGGCGUAAAGAGUGGUUAAGUUAAAACCUCACACUAAAGCCAAACAUCUUCAAGACUGUUAUACGCAACCGAAGACAGGAAGUUCAACCACGAAAGUGGCUUUAUUUGAUCUGAACCCACGAAAAGCUACGGAACAAACUAGGAUUAGAUACCC